UACGUAGGUGGCAAGCGUUGUCCGGAAUUAUUGGGCGUAAAGCGCGCGCAGGCGGUCCUUUAAGUCUGAUGUGAAAGCCCACGGCUCAACCGUGGAGGGUCAUUGGAAACUGGGGGACUUGAGUACAGAAGAGAAGAGUGGAAUUCCACGUGUAGCGGUGAAAUGCGUAGAGAUCGGGAGGAACAUCAGUUGCGAAGGCGGCUCUCUGGACCAGCACUGACACUGAGGCACGAAAGCGUGGGGAGCAAACAGG
rnacentral:rRNA from 1 species